rnacentral:lncRNA from 1 species
CAAACUAAGUCACAAGAAUAUUUGAGGAUUUUCAAAAGUGAAGUAUCUACGCAUAACAAGUCUAUGAAGAGACCUGUGAGUUCCACGUGAGUUUGAAGAAUGACAAUCGAUGUAGGUUCUACCCUUCAGAUCUCUGACCAGAAAGCUGGGAGGCCCAAGAG